UGGGGGGUGGUCCGGGAUUUCUGGGCGUAAGAGCGCGCAGGCGGUCGUUCAAGUCGCGUGUGAAAGCCCCCGGCUCAACUGGGGAGGGUCACGCGAUACUGAUCGACUCGAAGGCAGGAGAGGGUAGUGGAAUUCCCGGUGUAGUGGUGAAAUGCGUAGAUAUCGGGAGGAACACCAGUGGCGAAGGCGGCUUCCUGGCCUGUUCUUGACGCUGAGGCGCGAAAGCUAGGGGAGCAAACGGGAUUAGAUACCCCGGUAGUCCUAGCCGUAAACGAUGGACACUAGGUGUUGGUGGUAUCAACCCCACCAGUGCCGAAGCUAGCGCAUUAAGUGUCCCGCCUGGGGAGUACGGCCGCAAGGCUAAAACUCAAAGGAAUUGACGGGGCCCCGCACAAGCAGCGGAGCGUGGGGUUUAAUUCGAUGCAACGCGAAGAACCUUACCAAGGCUUGACAUGACCAGGAAUCCGGCGGAAACGUCGGCGCCCCGCAAGGGGCCUGGCCACAGGUGUUGCAUGGCUGUCGUCAGCUCGUGUCGUGAGAUGUUGGGUUAAGUCCCGCAACGAGCGCAACCCCUAUCGUGUGUUGUAUCACUCACACGAGACUGCCGAGAGAAACUCGGAGGAAGGCGGGGAUGACGUCAAGUCAGCAUGGCCCUUACGUCUUGGGCUACACCCACGCUACAAUGGCCGGUACAACGGGCGGCGAAACCGCGAGGUGGAGCAAAUCCCUUAAAGCCGGUCUCAGUUCGGAUUGUAGGCUGCAACUCGCCUACAUGAAGCCGGAGUUGCUAGUAACCGCCGGUCAGCAUACGGCGGUGAAUAUGUUCCCGGGGCUUGUACACACCGCCCGUCACGUCAUGAAAGCUGGCAACACCCGAAGCCGGUGGGCCAACCCGCAAGGGAGGCAGCCGUCGAAAGUGGGGUCGGUGAUUGGGACGAAGUCGUAACAAGGUAAC
rnacentral:rRNA from 1 species